rnacentral:rRNA from 1 species
UACGUAGGGUGCAAGCGUUUGUCCGGAAUUAUUGGGCGUAAAGAGCUCGUAGGCGGUUUGUCGCGUCUGCUGUGAAAUCUGGGGGCUCAACCCCCAGCCUGCAGUGGGUACGGGCAGACUAGAGUGCGGUAGGGGAGAUUGGAAUUCCUGGUGUAGCGGUGGAAUGCGCAGAUAUCAGGAGGAACACCGAUGGCGAAGGCAAUAUCUGGGCCGUAACUGACGCUGAGGAGCGAAAAGCGUGGGGGAGCGAACAGG